GUACCUACUAGCCUACGACGGGUACGGGUUGUGAGAGCAAGAGCCCGGAGAUGGAUUCUGAGACAUGAAUCCAGGCCCUACGGGGCGCAGCAGGCGCGAAAACUUUACAAUGCGGGAAACAGCGAUAAGGGGACCUCGAGUGCCAGGAUACAAUCCUGGCUGUCGUAAUGCCUAAAAAGCAUUGCAUAGCAAGGGCCGGGCAAGACCGGUGCCAGCCGCCGCGGUAACACCGGCGGCUCGAGUGGUAACCGCUAUUAUUGGGUCUAAAGGGUCUGUAGCCGGCUGACUAAGUCUCUUGGGAAAUCUGACAGCUUAACUGUCAGGCUUUCAGGAGAUACUGAUCGGCUCGAGACCGGGAGAGGUGAGAGGUACCUCAGGGGUAGGGGUGAAAUCUUGUAAUCCUUGAGGGACCACCAGUGGCGAAGGCGUCUCACCAGAACGGAUCUGACGGCAAGGGACGAAAGCUAGGGGCACGAACCGGAUUAGAUACCCGGGUAGUCCUAGCCGUAAACGAUACUCGCUAGGUGUCGGCCACGGUGCGACCGUGGUCGGUGCCGUAGGGAAGCCGUGAAGCGAGCCACCUGGGAAGUACGGCCGCAAGGCUGAAACUUAA
rnacentral:rRNA from 1 species